rnacentral:rRNA from 1 species
GGUGUAUAGUUAAUAGCAUUACACUGUGACGUUAGCUACAGAAGAAGCACCGGCAAACUCCGUGCCAGCAGCCGCGGUAAUACGGAGGGUGCGAGCGUUAAUCGGAAUUACUGGGCGUAAAGCGCGCGUAGGCGGUUAUUUAAGUUGAGGUGUGAAAUCCCUGGGCUCAACCUAGGAACUGCAUUUCAAACUGGAUAACUUGAGUAUGUCAGAGGGUAUUGGAAUUUCCCCGUGUAGCAGUGAAAAUGCGUAGAUAUGGGAAGGAACAUCAGUGGCGAAGGCGAAUACCUGGGAUAAUACUGACGCUGAGGUGCGAAAGCGUGGGGAGCAAACGGGAUUAGAUACCCCUGGUAG